rnacentral:lncRNA from 7 species
ACAGCAGGAUAUAAGCUGGACUCCAUGAGGCCCUGUCUUCACAGGGAAAUAGGAAACAUGAAUGUGAAGACAGAUAUAAUUGUCUACAGAGGUUAUAAGAUAAUGAAGAUCUUGGCUGGCUUGCAAGUCUGAUUGGCAACCAAGGACAGCAAGUAGCAAGAAUGAGGGAGGUUCACCAGGAAGAACUUCAGCACCUGCGCUGAGCCCUGUAUCCCAAGACCAUCAGCUGAAGACUGGUAAAUCAAGAGAACAAAUGGGAUGCUUUGCAUAGAUUUUAUCAAAGGAGGAGCCCGUGACAUCUUCUGCCAAGAAGAGGAGAUGACAGGCUAUGGUCAGUUUCAGUUCAUGGUAUAAGUUUUGAAGAUGGUCUUUCACACCAAGAUACAACACUGACUGUGUAGUAUUUGAAGGUCAGUGAGAACUAUUGGUGGGGCAGUAGCUUUGUCCUCAGAGACUGUCUCCCUUCCUCUACCUCAGUUUUCCAAAUUCAUGCUGUUACAUUGUACAAGGCUACUGAAACUUUCUUCUCCAUCAAGACACAAUGGAUGCUGUAUGGAAACAGUAGAAGAGUCUCUCUGCAAAGGCUGGCAUAUGGGAAAAGAAGAGAGCAUCGGGGAAAGCAGAGUAUACAAAGUUACAUUAGCAGACAUUGCAUAAAAACAUAUCUUCUCCAGCAAUGAUUCUAAGUGGACCCUGUUGCAGAAAGCUGGCAGAGCUGUGAUGAGAGAUGUGAGCGAGGAUGGCAGCGAGCACUGUUCUUCACCAGCUAGGAAUGGAGAACCAUCCAACAGUCCAGGCUGCUAGACAAGUUCCUAGAGAGGAGGCCAAGGCAAGGUCCCAAAUGAGUGAGACUCAUCUGGGUACAUGGCCAGGCAUUGGGUCUGGGCCAGUGGGCAGGUGGUACAUGGGUCAGCAUCCCAGAAUGAGAAAUGAUCAGGACUUGCUUGUGCCCUCUUGGUCUCUAAUGUAAAGUAUGCCUUGCUACUUCAACUUUCAGCAGUUUUUUUCUGUAUACAGGGUAAUUCAGUUAUUCUUGUGCACUGCUCUAGAGGGAUGAAACAAAUACCCAUUCAGUGAGUGAUGGAUUAAAGCCAAUAUUGUCAAUUUCUUUCUUAAACCAAACAGAAGUAAUGUUUUUGAUUUUCAGGAAUACUUUCUGUCUUAUAUCAUCCUUUAAUGAAACUCCUAUAACUUGGUUAUUUCAAGCUUUGUACUCAUUGCAGUCCCAUUGCUUACAGCAUCUCCAUACUGCAACAAUAAUUUAUUUCAACUUCAAGUCAGAUGUAUGAGAAUAUACCUGGUAUAUCUCUGGAUUCCUAAACAUAAACCCACUUACAGAGUUGAAUGCACAAGCAAUCCCUUUACUUGCAUACCAUUUAGAUAUGGGCUAACAGAAUGUAACAUUAUGGGCAUGAGGCAGGCACUCUGGCUCUCAGAAGUCAGUGCUCUUGCAUAAUAUUAUGUAAAAUAAAUAAAAAAUAUCAAUUGAACAACAAUUGGUUGCAGAACCAAUUGAAAG